rnacentral:lncRNA from 1 species
CGCUGUUACAGCGUGGUAGCAACAGGACCAAAACAGCAGAGAUGUUUAGCCUCACACUUUAAAGCUCUUAGUUGUUGCUGAAAUUGACCCACUAUGCUGUUUACUUUGUGCAUCUAUGUCAUAUCGUUGAAUUUACCUUUAAAACAGAACGACAAAACAGAAACAAAACCGAAAGUGAAAAAACUGCCUGAUUUGAGGAUCAAACCCACAAUGGAAGCUGUAAGCAAAGGUUUAAAGGAAAAUGUCAUAAUUUCAACCUCAUAUUCAUCAUCUCCAGCACGACCCCGACGUCAACAUAUGUGAAAACGGCUCGAUCUUCUGUAGUCUCCAUAACCGGAUUACACUGGCACAGGAUGUCUAUGCACCGGAUGGCCUGAGGGAUGCACUCUCUUUGGACUGGAAAACAAAGAGACAUUUGGUCAGUGGUAGUUUUUUUUCCAAUGCUGUAUCAUCAUCUUUAUCUGGACAGAAAACACAUUUGUGACUCAUUUCAGGAAACUAGGCGUAUGUCGCGGGUCACUACUUCAUAGGAGAGCCAUUUGAACGUAAACUUUUUUUUUCAUCAAAAUGCUUUUUGUUUGGCAGAAAUGCCUUCUGGAACACUUUCAUGUGCCUUAAUAACAAACUUGUAUGCCAUCUGUAAAUACGAAUCACAUUUUUACAUUACGAGCCCAGUUGGUAAGCCACAGAAAAAGUGAGCAACCUUCCCACUAGCCAUGAUUGGCUGAGAAAAUGAUUGGGCUGGACAUGCCGAGAGAGGAGUUCAGAUUGGUCUGCCAUAUAGAAGGCUUCUGUCUAUUUGAGCUGGUCAGUCUAUGUUGGUAAUCCUGUCGAACGUGGCUUUUUUUAAUGUAUCGUGUAGUGGAGCUGCAUAAGUGUUGAUCGCCACUUUCUGGAGGAUCGAGUUUUGAAAUCAGUGGAAUUAGAGUAUGAGAGCUAAAGAGAUGGAGAAAACACCUGUCUCCGGAUUACAUCUUCAAACUAAGGGCAACCAUGGGCAAGGCAUCCAUGACAGCGUCCAUCAUGCAUG